AGGAUGAUCCUAGACGACGUUGGCUUCGCCGCGACGGUGCUGACCUCUUCGAGCGGAUCGACGCGCGCCGAUUGGACGCCUGCUCUCCGCUAAUUGGCGUGUACGGUUGUGCGGUGGAACAAGAAUCUCUCUAGGGACCUUUGAUAAUCAGAGGUAUUAGCUGGAGGAUUUUAGAAUCCGUGUGUAAAGGAUGGCUUGUGGGGAAGCGGCGUAGUAUUAUCGAAGCGGAUAAUGAGCUCUGAAGAAUAUGUGGAAAGAGAGGAAGAAUCCGUGACCAGUCUUGGGUUUCAAGCAGUAUUCGAGAUUAAGGAAUAACGGAUCAAUUCCGGCAAUUCAUAUUUCCGGUUGUGAUGGAGCGAUGGAAUGGAGAAAGAAGAUUUGUCUUCGUCGAUGAUAUUUGAUUUCCAUGUUUCACAAAGAAUAUCCUCUUUAAAAGCAUUUCAACAACGAUUCCUCGGAAAUGUUAAUUUAUACAUCAUCGAUGAAACAUUCCUUCACUAAUCAAUUUAAUACUUUUUCCCAAACGUCGUUAAAGUAAUUAAAUGGAAUCAAAAAUCAAUAAAACAUAGGCAAAAGAAAUAUGUGAAUUGAAGUUCAAAAUUGUGGACGUAAAUCGGUGAAUUACUUCGAACGAUUACUACCAUCGUUUAUUAUAGCUGACGUAAUUCAUGGGCUAUGUUUCACUUGCGACAACAACAAUAACAACAACAACAACACGAGUUAGAGGCCUUCAUACGCCUCUUACCAGCAUGUUUAAGAUUUUUUAUUAUCAUUGGAUGAUCGGUCGAGCUUAGAUGCUAAUUUGUUUAAAUUUGCAUCUUUGUCAUCAUGGACAUAAUAAACUGAAGAAAUAUUGAACUUGAUUGUUAAAGAAGAUUCGAGAAGGAACAUUUAUUGCGCGGAAGGAAAUGUACAGUGAUCUAAAUCAAUGGAAGCCGGCUAAUCCUUAUUUUCUAAAUCUGUGAAACAGCGGAGAAUUCCAUUGAAAUCUCUUCGACCAUCAUCGAUCAAGCGUAAUUGGGAAAAAACGAAGCGGAGAACGUUGGAGGAAGCAAGGGAUCGAUUAGUCUGUGAUUGAGUUACAGGAAGGCGGUCGUUUAUUGGCAUAAUCGAUACCUUACUGGGUCUAAUAAAUACAUCCUUGGGAAACCUCGAGCUCGGUAUAUUCUCUCGACAAGGUUUUUUCUUUUCUUUCUCUUUCGCGAAAUCCGUGAUUCGAAGAGGAAAAAUCGUGUUAACACCAACGUUGGAUUAUCCUCAUUUCGAGGCAUAAUUCAAAGGUUGUCAUCUUGAACGUGGUCUCGUAUCGACAACAUUUAUGUAUCGAUUUUGUAGCGAUAUCGAUUAUCAUCGAUUAUUUAAAAAUAACGAAAGGAGAAGGAAAGGACUUAAAAAUUAUGAGAAGGAAUAAGUUGUAUAUAUCGAGAAAGAAAAAAAACAGAAAGAAAGGAGAAAAUAAUAAUAAAUAAAAGACGACGAUUAAAAGUUGUGCGGUGUCGAUAUUUCGUUAUCAAUCGCAAAAGAAAAGAAUAGUGGCAAUAGAUUAUCAGUGAAUAACCAUCUCAUUGCCACCGUAUACGCGGCGCAGAAACGACGCAUGAUCGUCGGCUGAUCGGCAAAACAUUCACGCCGACAAUCUCGCCGCUGUCGAGGCAUGCAGAGGAAUGUUGAUGCUGUGCUGUCAUCGAUAAGUGGACACGCAUUUAUAUUUAAACUACAUGUAAUAAUAUGAAUACGUCGAUGUUGGUCUGACGUCGUUCAUAUGCUAUUAACCUUUUUGCCACUGGACGCGUAUGUACAUACAUACAUAUGUAUAGCUGCAUGUAUACCUCGUUAAACAUCGACUAACCAUUUGCUAAAAAACGUGCAAAUAUUUUCCAUAAAAUAAUUUUUAUUUUAACGCACGAAUUAUAAAAUAAUUAACAUUGGAAUAAACAGAUUGGCUUUGGACUAUUGAUUGUUGAAAAAAAAAAAAAGAAAUUUAUAUAUAUGCAUAAUAAUUUAUUUUUACAUGUACAGAAUUAUACAUAUCUAAUUAUUUGUACAAUUCUAAUUUUUAAUCCCAAUCCAAUUACAACGUUAAUUAUACAAAAUA